CUGCACUGGACACCUUCCUUCAACGUGCAGUCGCUGUUGCAGCAGGUGUCGUUGUUCAGAUACAUGAUGCCAGGAUCACACUCUUCUCCUUCAUCCACCCUCGAGUUCCCACAAACUUUAUUGCUGCGUUCUUGAAAACACUCCUGGGCCUUACUUUCAAUGGUCUUAUAGAUUGAUUGUUUACUGCAGUUUGAAAACAUCUUGAGAGAAAAAAGGCAAUAAGGACCCAAAAUAAUAUCAUAAAAAUGUAUUCCCAUGCAAUGUUUGUGUCUUCUCUAGAGACAAACUCUUAAUGUAAAACCACCAUCAGAGCCACCCUGGAGUUAUGGCAAGGCCACCACAGUCUCCUCCAAAGGCCACUGAUAUGGAACUGGGAACCUCCCUCCAUAGAAUGCUAAAUGGCUGAUGUGAACUUGGUUAAGGAUCUAUAAUUCUUCUUACGAAGGUUAAAAUGGAGUUAAAAUUCACAGUGAACAGAUAAGAAGACCUCUUCACUGAUUUGUCAGAGUUACAACUCCCAAGCAGCUGGAGAGCACUAACGAUAAAAGGACCAACCCGCAACUCUGGCUUUCUGCCUACACAUCCCUGAAGAUCUGGCAGCUUCUGUUUGCAUCCUUGUCAUAAGACUUCCUCUUCCGUUCAGCAAACCUUCCUAAGAAGUUACAAUCUCAAAGGUCCUACAUUCCUUUUCACUAAUGUCAUCUGUCCACAGAGAAGUCCACCUGUGGCAAACUGCUCUUCAUAGGCUUGCCUAGUAGAGGGUGAUGGGUUCUGUCUUUCUAGGUCAAGGAACUACUUUAUUUUUGUCCUGUAAGC
rnacentral:lncRNA from 1 species